rnacentral:rRNA from 1 species
AUUGAACGCUGGCGGCAUGCUUUACACAUGCAAGUCGAGCGGUAACAGGCCUUCGGGUGCUGACGAGUGGCGCACGGGUGAGUAAUGCAUCGGAACGUACCCAGAGGUGGGGGAUAACGCAGCGAAAGCUGUGCUAAUACCGCAUGUGAUCUGAGGAUGAAAGCGGGGGACCGAGCAGCAAUGUUUGGCCUCGCGCCUUUGGAGCGGCCGAUGUCGGAUUAGCUAGUUGGUGGGGUAAAGGCCUACCAAGGCGACGAUCCGUAGCUGGUCUGAGAGGACGACCAGCCACACUGGGACUGAGACACGGCCCAGACUCCUACGGGAGGCAGCAGUGGGGAAUUUUGGACAAUGGGCGCAAGCCUGAUCCAGCAAUGCCGCGUGCGGGAAGAAGGCCUUCGGGUUGUAAACCGCUUUUGGCAGGAACGAAACGGUGUCCGCUAAUACCGGGCGCUAAUGACGGUACCUGCAGAAUAAGCACCGGCUAACUACGUG